CUGACCUCGGAUCAGACGUGAUUACCCGCU
rnacentral:rRNA from 1 species